CGCGUAUACAAUCUACCUUUGCUGUGGGAUAGCCCAGAGAAAUUUGGAUUAACACCACAUGGUAUUAUAAUUCGGCAUCGUAUUAUAAUUAAAGGUUACGGCAAAAGAUGAGUAUGCGUCCUAUUAGCUAGAUGGUAAGGUAACGGCUUACCAUGGCAACGAUAGGUAGGGGUCCUGAGAGGGAGAUCCCCCACACUGUUACUGAGACACGGACCAGACUCCUACGGGAGGCAGCAGUGAGGAAUAUUGGACAAUGGGCGCAAGCCUGAUCCAGCCAUGCCGCGUGCAGGAAGACUGCCC
rnacentral:rRNA from 1 species